AGAGCGAACGCUGGCGGCAGGCUUAACACAUGCAAGUCGAGCGGGCGUAGCAAUACGUCAGCGGCAGACGGGUGAGUAACGCGUGGGAACAUACCUUUUGGUUCGGAACAACCCAGGGAAACUUGGGCUAAAUACCGGAUAAGCCCUUACGGGGAAAGAUUUAUCGCCAAAAGAUUGGCCCGCGUCUGAUUAGCUAGUUGGUGAGGUAACGGCUCACCAAGGCGACGAUCAGUAGCUGGUCUGAGAGGAUGAUCAGCCACAUUGGGACUGAGACACGGCCCAAACUCCUACGGGAGGCAGCAGUGGGGAAUAUUGGACAAUGGGCGCAAGCCUGAUCCAGCCAUGCCGCGUGGGUGAUGAAGGCCCUAGGGUUGUAAAGCCCUUUCGGCGGGGAAGAUAAUGACGGUACCGCAGAAGAAGCCCGGCUAACUCGCGCCAGCAGCCGC
rnacentral:rRNA from 1 species